GUGCUUUCUGUAAGGAUAAAAUUACAGAAAAGUGUUAAAUGUGCCAGCAGCUCUCUAAAGGUGCGCUCCUUUUUGUCUACUGAGUACAGAGACAUGUCCUUAUAUUUUUAAAGGAAAACACCUGUUUUAACUGGUUAACAUCUGUAUCGCAAAGAUUCACCCUUUCUCUGCAAUACUACAGCAAACAUUGGGAAGGCUAGGUAAUUACUUCUGGGGAUUAACUUCACCUUCAGGAAGUAUCUUUUAAAUCUUUUCAAGUCGUGUUUAUCAGAAUGGGGAAUCUAUAACAACUUUUAAAAUCAGCACUCACCUUUGAGAUGAAAAUUCCUGCUCAAGAAAUAGUUUUAUCCUCUUUAAAUUUAGAGAAAAGGAACCCAUAGUCGUUGCUGUUAAACCCACCCCCACACCCCAAAAAAACCAAUAACCAAUAGGUUAUCUUUGCUUAUGAGAUGCCAUACUGAUGGACUAAGAAGGAUUUCUUAUCAAUGUAUGUAUUAACGGAGUAGCUUUCCCAGAUCCUGGGUGUGUUUGUUGCUUUGGUAUUGACCUUUUAGUUUUAGGUGUAUAUUUAAAACAUUCGUUUUGUCAUUUUUAGCACCAGCUUUCCACCUCUAGCAUCUUUUUCACUUGGUUUAAGAGUUUACAGAAAGGUUAAGUAACAGGUAAAUUAAAACUGAGGAAGAGGAAAAUACACCUAUGUGAGUUCCAGAACCGUGGUCUUCAUAGAGUAUUAGGCUACUGUUUGUUAUUAAAUCUGAAUGUUAGGCUGUAUCUUUGGCAGAAGGAAAAGUGUGAAAAAGAGAUUCUCUGAAGCUAGAGAGGGAAGCCUAUUCAUCUGAUCUUUGGCGUGUUCUCUGUAUUUCAUGGCUCUUCAGCAUCUCAGUGUGGGAAUUUUACAGCAGGUUCAUAAAAACUGUAAAAACUGUUAUUUAACACUUAAUAUAAAUUAAUAGCAGAGGCUUUGCAGUAUUUUUUUUUUUCAUUUCAUUUGAUAGUAAACUGUUUAUGGUUAUCUUUUAAUUUUCUGUAUACUCUGUUGUGGGCUUUCGUAAUAAAUUGUAAAAAUACUAAAAGCUACCAUCAGAUGAAGUUAAAACGGGUUCAUAACUGUUGUAGCAGGAAGAUGCAGUUCUGUUUUAAUAAAGUUCUUAUUUAGGGCAUUUGAUAGCUGAAGAAAGCUAAAGAAACAGUUUGGGAUGGAGAUGCUGUCUGGACUCUAUAACAAAGCAGCCCAAAUGUAGUAACUGAUAGCAUUGAGAUCGAAUUGGUGGUGAUGUCUCAAAAUUCUGAAAACCAAUAGGGCCACCAGCACUGUUGGGUCACAGCUGUUGGUAAUAAAUCUGUGAAAAAUCUGACAGUGAAAUAGUUUCGGUACUUGGAGCUUUAAUCUAGCGGGUUCAUCAGUAGUACCAUUUGUAGUAUUUGUACUUCUCUUGUUUCUGAUUUUCAAACUUGUGUUUAUUUCUAGCAGCUACUGACAAUCAUAGCAUCUGGAAAUUUAUGACUGAUAUAAAUUGUAUUUACCAGGACAAUGUAUGGCUGCAGUAAAUAAUGUGUCCAAGGGCUGCAAGUCACAUGGACCCCACUUACUAUGAGUAACUGAACCAAAUAUAAGGGAAUUCUUGUGCUGUUGUUCAUCUGUGCUUUUUCUCGCCUUCUGAUCUGCCACUCUUCUCUGUUCUCACCACCACAUUCUGUCCCUUCUAAUUUCUCUUCCUCCACAUCAGUUCUGCACUGCAGCUUGUCACGUUCAGCCUGGCAGUUUUUCAGAACUCCUCAGGAGCCUCAGCUGUGCUGGAGCAGGGCCAUAUUCAGAGGUAUUCCUUCCAUGGAUGCCCUCAGCAGUGUGGGGAUGCAAGUUCCCUGCCUCCCCGAACACUGGAGUGCAAGGAUGACACAGGCUCACAAAAACACUACUUCAAAGGCAUCUCAGGAGACGUGUUAACCAAAGAAAGGGAUCACAGGGACUGGAUUUCAGUUACUGGUCACUGAUGCACUGUGCUGUCAUCCAAUAAAACUUGCUCAUUGUCUGUACAGUGGAACAUCUGUGCAUUUGUGAAAAUUAAAUACAGCUUUGAAUUGAA